CCAAGCCAGUACUUGACUAUGUCCUUAAGUGAAGAAGGGGAAUAGGAUCAGUCUAAGUAUAUCAUCAAUAAAAUUUUGAAUCUUCACCAUGGAAUAAAUUUUUAAAAACUCAUUUAGAUGCUUGUAAGGAUCUUCAUUGGUGUUUCUAUAGAAAGAUGGGAGCAUCUGGAUUGUGGUCGAUUUGAUCUUAUAAUGACUUGUAGGA
rnacentral:lncRNA from 1 species